UGGCGGACGGGUGAGUAAUAUAUCGGAACGUACCCUGGAGUGGGGGAUAACGUAGCGAAAGUUACGCUAAUACCGCAUACGAUCUAAGGAUGAAAGUGGGGGAUCGCAAGACCUCAUGCUCCUGGAGCGGCCGAUAUCUGAUUAGCUAGUUGGUAGGGUAAAAGCCUACCAAGGCAUCGAUCAGUAGCUGGUCUGAGAGGACGACCAGCCACACUGGAACUGAGACACGGUCCAGACUCCUACGGGAGGCAGCAGUGGGGAAUUUUGGACAAUGGGCGCAAGCCUGAUCCAGCAAUGCCGCGUGAGUGAAGAAGGCCUUCGGGUUGUAAAGCUCUUUUGUCAGGGAAGAAACGGGUUUUUCUAAUACAGAGACCUAAUGACGGUACCUGAAGAAUAAGCACCGGCUAACUACGUGCCAGCAGCCGCGGUAAU
rnacentral:rRNA from 1 species